rnacentral:rRNA from 1 species
UACGUAGGUGGCAAGCGUUGUCCGGAAUUAUUGGGCGUAAAGCGCGCGCAGGGUGGUCCUUUAAGUCUGAUGUGAAAGCCCUCGGCUCAACCCGAGGAGGGUCAUUGGAAACUGUCAGGCUCGAGUCCGGAAGAGGCGAGUGGAAUUCCUGGUGUAGCGGUGAAAUGCGCAGAUAUCAGGAGGAACACCAAUGGCGAAGGCAGCUCGCCUGGGGAC